UACGUAGGGCGCAAGCGUUAUCCGGAAUUAUUGGGCGUAAAGAGCUCGUAGGCGGUUUGUCGCGUCUGCCGUGAAAGUCCGGGGCUCAACUCCGGAUCUGCGGUGGGUACGGGCAGACUAGAGUGCGGUAGGGGAGAUUGGAAUUCCUGGUGUAGCGGUGGAAUGCGCAGAUAUCAGGAGGAACACCGAUGGCGAAGGCAGAUCUCUGGGCCGAUACUGACGCUGAGGAGCGAAAGCGUGGGGAGCGAACAGG
rnacentral:rRNA from 1 species